GAUGAAGAACGCAGCGAAAUGCGAUAAGUAAUGUGAAUUGCAGAAUUCAGUGAAUCAUCGAAUCUUUGAACGCACAUUGCGCCCGCCAGUAUUCCGGCGGGCAUGCCUGUUCGAGCGUCAUUACAACCCUCAGGCCCCCGGGCCUGGCGUUGGGGAUCGGCGGAAGCCCCCUGUGGGCACACGCCGUCCCUCAAAUACAGUGGCGGUCCCGCCGCAGCUUCCAUUGCGUAGUAGCUAACACCUCGCAACUGGAGAGCGGCGCGGCCAUGCCGUAAAACACCCAACUUCUGAAUGUUGACCUCGAAUCAGGUAGGAAUACCCGCUGAACUUAAGCAUAUCAAUAAGCGGAGGA
rnacentral:misc_RNA from 1 species